rnacentral:rRNA from 1 species
UCAAGCGAACAAGGGCGCAGGGCGAAUGCCUUGGCACUGGGAGCCGAUGAAAGACGUGAUAAGCUGCGAUAAGCUUCGGGGAGUUGCAAAUAAGCAUUGAUCCGGAGAUUUCUGAAUGAGGAAACUCACCUGGGUUCAUACUCAGGUACGUUAUACUGAACUUAAAAAUAGGUAUAUCGAGGGAACCGCCUGAACUGAAACAUCUAAGUAGGGCGAGGAAGAGACAUCAAACGAGAUUCCGUAAGUAGUGGCGAGCGAACGCGGAAGAGGGCAAACCGGAAGUAGAAAUACUUCCGGGGUACGGACCGCAUUUAGGACUUGAGUUGUUAACCGAACGGCAUGGGAAGGCCGGUCAGAGAGUGUGAGAACCACGUAGGUGAAAACGACAAGAGCUGAGCGAGUUCCAGAGUACGGCCAGACACGUGAAACCUGGUCGGAAUAUGGGGGGACCACCCUCCAACCCUAAAUACUACCCAGUGACCGAUAGCGUAUAGUACUGUGAAGGAAAGGUGAAAAGCACCCCGGGAGGGGAGUGAAAAAGAACCUGAAACCCUGUGCCUACAAGCACCUAGAGCACGUCAAUGUGUGAUAGGGUACUUUUUGUAGAACGGUCCGGCGAGCGAUUGUAUGCAGCAAGGUUAAGGACUUAAGGUCUGGAGCCGAAGCGAAAGCGAGUUUGAAAAGGGCGUUAAGUUGCAUACAAUGGGCCCGAAACCGGGUGACCUACCCAUGGUCAGGUUGAAGUGGAAGUAAAAUUCCAUGGAGGACCGAACCGACCUCCGUUGAAAAGGCGGCGGAUGAACUGUGGGUAGCGGAGAAAUUCCAAUCGAACCCGGAGAUAGCUGGUUCUCCCCGAAAUAGUUUUAGGACUAGCCUCAAGUUAGAUACCUGGAGGUAAAGCACUGAAUAGCCUAGCGGCCGAGAGGUUAGCGAAGCUUAUCAAACUCAGAAUGCCAGAGUAUUGAUGCUUGGGAGUCAGACAGUGUCAGAUAAAUGUCAUUGUCAAAAGGGAAACAGCCCAGAUCUACAGCUAAGGUCCCAAAGUCAGGUUAAGUGGAAAACGAUGUGAAGAUACGUAGACAACCAGGAUGUUGGCUCAGAAGCAGCCACACAUUCAAAGAGUGCGUAAUAGCUCACUGGUCGAGCGUCUUUGCGCGGAGAAUUUAACGGGGCUAAACCUGACACCGAAGCUUAGGCAAUACAGCAAUGUAUUGGGUAGGGGAGCGUUGUAUACGCGGUGAAACAGUAGCGCAAGCGGCUGUGGAGUGUAUAGAAGUGAGAAUGCCGGAAUGAGUAGCGCGAAUGCAGUGAGAAUCUGCAUGGCCGAAAGCCUCAGGUUUCUGGAGGAAGGUUCGUCCGCUCCAGGUUAGUCGGGAGCUAAGGUGAGGCCUAACGGCGUAGCCGAUGCACAGACGGUAGAGAUUCCGUCACCACCAAAAGAGUUAAGCACAGGGACACAUUUGAAGUCUCGGAGCCGGGUGUUGGUUCCGGUAGCGAUCGAGGGAAAUUAGUACCGAAGUCCGGGAUGGAAGAUGGCGAGAAAAGCUGUGUGUAUUUCUGCGGUGCCCGUACCGCAAACCGACACAGGUAGGUAGGAAGAAGAUUCUAAGGCCAACGGGAGAAGGGUUGUUAAGGAACUCGGCAAAUUGACCCCGUAACUUCGGGAGAAGGGGUGCUCCAGAGAUGGAGCCGCAGAGAAUCGGCCCAAGCAACUGUUUACCAAAAACACAGGUUUGUGCUAAAUCGAAAGAUGACGUAUACGAGCUGACGCCUGCCCGGUGCUGGAAGGUUAAGAGGAGAUGUGCAAGCAUUGAAUCGAAGCCCCAGUGAACGGCGGCCGUAACUAUAACGGUCCUAAGGUAGCGAAAUUCCUUGUCAGGUAAGUUCUGACCCGCAUGAAAGGCGUAAUGAUUUGGGCACUGUCUCGACAGCCCGCCCGGCGAAAUUGUAGUACCGGUGAAGAUGCCGGUUACCCGCGACAAGACGGAAAGACCCCAUGGAGCUUUACUGUAGCCUAAUAUUGGGUUUCGAUGUUGCAUGCACAGGAUAGAUGGGACACAGGGAAACAAGUGCUUUGGCAUUUGUGGAGUGGCCGUUGGGAUACCAUCCUUGCGAUAUUGGAAUUCUAACCUGCGCCUUUGAAUCAAGGCGGGGGACAUUGUUAGGUGGGCAGUUUGACUGGGGCGGUCGCCUCCUAAAGAGUAACGGAGGCGUUCAAAGGUUCGCUCAGCUUGAACGGAAAUCAAGCAAAAGAGUGCAAACGCAGAAGCGAGCCUAACUGCGAGACUGACGGGUCGAGCAGUAACGAAAGUUGGAGUUAGUGAUCCGGUGGUAUGUGAGUGGAAAUGCCAUCGCUCAACGGAUAAAAGUUACCCUGGGGAUAACAGGCUGAUCUCCCCCAAGAGUCCACAUCGACGGGGAGGUUUGGCACCUCGAUGUCGGCUCAUCGCAUCCUGGGGCUGUAUUCGGUCCCAAGGGUUUGGCUGUUCGCCAAUUAAAGCGGUACGCGAGCUGGGUUCAGAACGUCGUGAGACAGUUCGGUCCCUAU